GUCGGGAGCAAACUUGGUUCCUUUCUAUCUCGUAAAGGAAAGGGGGAGAGCAGAUUUUCCUGGGAGAUGUGGCUAAAGGAAGGCAGGGAGCAGUUGCAGGGGGAAGACACUUGGGAGCAGGACGGGCCGCUCUCCAUCCCGCCCCACCCAGCCCUCUAGGGGACUGGUGGGAAAGAGUACCCGGCUGGGGGAGGCCUGCCCCCCCCCCCGGCCUUUCAGCCUUCUUUAGCCUUGUUGUCAUCCUCAGGUAUCGGGAGAGAUGCCCCACGUGGAAGUUUCCAAGCCUUUUUCCCACUCCCUCUCUCCCCUUGAGGUCCGAUUGGAGCCUCGCCUAGCCCCACCUCGCCUCGCCCCACAUGUGGCCGGGACUAGGGAGGCUUCCACUCUACCACCGGGAGAGCAGAAAAACUGGAAAUGGUCAGGGGAAGAGGAGACUUUCCACCUGUACUGCACCAAAGGAACUGGCCCAAAGUAUGCCUCGAUUGUGCAGACGGAGUUAGGAAAGGAGACUCUAUCUCCCGUCUCCCUUUAAGUGAAGAGUUGGAACUAGAGGAGAAGAUACUAUUCAUCCCCCCCACGCCCAAUUCUUGCGGUUUGCCCCUGUGGGAGACAGCGUGUGUAGGGGGGGGAGUGCGAAUGGACGACUUUGGCUUCCCUUACCUUCUGAGCCCCCCUUCCUUCCCCCCUGAAACAAGCAUAUUUGACGGGCGGGAUAUUGGGGAACACAAGAAGGGGAAAGACGUGCUCUGUGGACAUCACCCCCCCCAUCCUUCCACCCACGGGGGGGGAAGGGGGGGUUUUGCCAGUUGGCGCGUUUUUUAGUACUUUGAAUGGAGAACUCCAUUUCCCAUGAUGCCUUGUUCUUUUCUCUUUAAUCUCUGAGGCAGCUUCACCACGAGGGUCCGGACGCGUGGUGCCCACGGUUGGUGCAGACCCUGGUUAGACCUGGACGGCCAGCCUGAGGAGUCUAGGGCAGGAUCCAGGAUGGGACCACUCAGUACUGUCCUCAAGAAACGGAUUUUCAGGUUUGACCUCUUUUUUUUUUUCUCCCCUCUUUCUCAGAAUAGCCGGGAUCUGUGUGUGUGUGUGUGUGUGUGUGUGUGUGUGUGUGUGUGUGUGUGUGUGUGUGUAGGGGGGGGCCAUUCUUUUAAAAUUGGUCAUUCCUUUUUCAGUAAACUUUUUCAAGACCCAAAGACUGGAGCAUGGGGCAUGGUGGCACAUUUUCAUAAGGCAUCAGGUAAGGGAGUCGGGGGGGGGGCAUUAGAGAAAAGAACAGAAGCAAGCACUCUUGACAACUUAUUUCUCCAAUGUUGGCAGACAGGUUUGCUCCCCACCAUUACAGAAAACCAUAAAGGUAGGUAUGAUAGAUGGUAUACCUUGAAUGUUUCUAGAAUAGUAAGCGGGAUAAAAUCUUUUUAAAAUCUUAGAUUCUCAUUAAUAAAUAUUCCCCUGACAGGUAUGGAGAAUUAAAU
rnacentral:lncRNA from 1 species